rnacentral:tRNA from 14 species
GGGCGCGUAGCUCAGCGGGAGAGCACUACGUUGACAUCGUAGGGGUCACUGGUUCAAUCCCAGUCGCGCCCACCA